CAGCCGCCACGGUAAUGCGAAGGGGGCUAGCGUUGUUCGGAAUUACUGGGCGUAAAGGGCGCGUAGGCGGCCAUUCAAGUUAGAUGUGAAAGCCCUGGGCUCAACCUAGGAAUUGCAUUUGAUACUGUUUGGCUUGAGUUCGGGAGAGGUGAGUGGAAUUCCCAGUGUAGAGGUGAAAUUCGUAGAUAUUGGGAAGAACACCAGUGGCGAAGGCGGCUCACUGGACCGACACUGACGCUGAGGCGCGAAAGCGUGGGGAGCAAACAGGAUUAGAUACCCGCUAGUCCCUGUCUCUUAUACA
rnacentral:rRNA from 1 species